rnacentral:rRNA from 1 species
UGCAUGUCUCAGUGCAAGCCAAAUUAAGGUGAAACCGCGAAUGGCUCAUUAAAUCAGUUAUGGUUCCUUAGAUCGUACCCACGUUACUUGGAUAACUGUGGUAAUUCUAGAGCUAAUACAUGCAAACAGAGCUCUGACCAGAAAUGGAAAGAACGCUUUUAUUAGAUCAAAACCAAUCGGUCGGCUCGUCCGGUCCGUUUGCCUUGGUGACUCUGAAUAACUUUGGGCUGAUCGCACGGUCCUUGUACCGGCGACGCAUCUUUCAAAUGUCUGCCUUAUCAACUUACGAUGGUAGGUUCUGCGCCUACCAUGGUUGUAACGGGUAACGGGGAAUCAGGGUUCGAUUCCGGAGAGGGAGCCUGAGAAACGGCUACCACAUCCAAGGAAGGCAGCAGGCGCGCAAAUUACCCACUCCCGGCACGGGGAGGUAGUGACGAAAAAUAACGAUACGGGACUCAUCCGAGGCCCCGUAAUCGGAAUGAGUACACUUUAAAUCCUUUAACGAGUAUCC